UUCUGGCAGCUUUGAGCGCAACUGUCUCUCUCUAACAAUCGUGAUGUAUUAGUGGCAUCCCGCUUGCGCUCUAGGAAAAGCAAAGCAGGAAAGAACGUAUGCGCGUGUGGAUAUUUUCAAUUUCGGUACCGCGUGUUGUUUGAAAGUGAGUGGUUGAAAUAAUGGUGAAAAUAUCGCGUUUUCAAGCUGCUGUUCCACCGAGCGUUGUCCCAACAACAACAACCGUCUAGGUCGGCAUAGGUCGUGAAUUACCACGGAAGCUGCUAAGACAUCAGCGGCAGGGUCGAGCAAGGAAAGUUUCAUUUGUAAAACUAUUCCUGCACACCAAAAAAUUAUCAAAUUUAUUCGAGCCAGAAACGCUUGGAGACCUAAAGUUUUGUGGAUCUAUAUUGAAGGUGACUUAAUUUUACAUCGUUUCGUGUCUAAUUUUCAAGCGCAUAGAGUAAAGUAUUCCUUGAACUCAAAUUUAUAUUUUGAAUGAUGUAAAUGUAUGUUCGUUUAAACGCAAUGUAAGAGUAAAAAACAUCAGUGUCUGAAAACGUUUGCUUAUCUCAUCCAUUCAUCAUUAAUUGAGGUAGGUGUAUCUCAAUUUAUCAGUUUAAGAAACUUAAAUUGAGUUUUUCUUAGCCAGAUUCCGCUACAGCGCUUCCAUCGUGUUGUUUUGCUGUCACACAUAAACAAAACAAAUUCCGUUCCGAACAAAAAUCAGCGCAGCUCAUCCGAGAAAUCAAUCGUUCGGCGACGGGUUCAAGCUGUCUGCGGCCAAGUGCACCAACAUUAUCGAUUACUUUUCGAUCCGGCAGAUUCCGGAAUCAGUGCUGGCCGAAUCGAAAUUCAAGAAUGGUUGCGAGGGCGCGAUCGACCGGACCCGGCUGGCAUAUCAAAUCACCCGACGGCUGUCCAAUGAAGGUAACCAGUUUUCUAAUGUCAGUGAUUCUGCUACAGAUGUGGUGCUGUUAUCAGUGAGGUGACACUAGUUCCGGCACUACAGCAUCGAUCUCGACUUGCCAAGCGCACCAUAAUGUGCGCCGUUCUGCGCGAGUGGGCCUUUUCAAUUACCUGCAAAACCAAACUAGACAAGUAAGAGAAAAUUUUGAUACGGUAGAACUCAGUGCCAGUGUUUUACAAAUAAAAAACAUCUAUGUACCACAGGAUUAAGGCCGUGAUUUAUCGACGUGAAUACGGUCACAAUUCACGUCACCUAAUUGCAUCUGGACCUAAACGAAGCGAGUCAAUUUCAAGAAGAAAACCCCCGAGCUUGAAGAUGACGAGCGGACCGAGUUGAACGAGGUGCUGGAUUGUCAUUUCGGAAAGAUUAGUGUGCAGAAGUGAACUCAAACGACUGCCCUGAAGAAAACAAGGAUGAAGUUAAAAAAAAACUAGAAACCAAGGAGUACAGGGAUGUACCGAUACUUUGGGGUGCGUCUAACGUUGUACGUGGUACCGGCAACCGGGAGCACAUGAAGUUACUCCUUCAGGCCUGCAAGGGAGAAUUGAGUGGAAACUGGAUCCGGAAAAAAGGAUUAUUUUACUGGUGAGUUGGCAUAGAAACUUGUGUUUUCGUUAGUGUCGCGAAUGUGGUUCUUAAAAAAGCAACAAGAGAUAGUUCAAUGAGUUUGAUUAUCAUUGAGAUACCGUGAGCAUACAUCAAGAUCAAUAAAGUUUUUAAAUAAAUAACACUAGUGGAUUUCUGUUUAUAUCAAGAAAUUUUGAGUACAAAGUAUAAAUUAAUAAUAAAUGUAGCGAAAAUGUACAUGAAACAAAAUUGUAAAUGUAAAAUUACAUUAAAUAUUGAAAUUAAGUCUGAAUGGAGAUUUACAUGCAAUGAGCUGGGUCAUUACAUAUAAUGAG